rnacentral:rRNA from 1 species
GGGGAAUAUUGGACAAUGGGCGCAAGCCUGAUCCAGCCAUGCCGCGUGAGUGAUGAAGGCCUUAGGGUUGUAAAGCUCUUUUGUCCGGGAAGAUAAUGACUGUACCGGAAGAAUAAGCCCCGGCUAACUUCGUGCCAGCAGCCGCGGUAAUACGAAGGGGGCUAGCGUUGCUCGGAAUCACUGGGCGUAAAGCGCACGUAGGCGGACUCUUAAGUCGGGGGGUGAAAGCCCAGGGCUCAACCCUGGAACUGCCUUCGAUACUGGGAGUCUUGAGUGUGGAAGAGGUUGGUGGAACUGCGAGUGUAGAGGCGAAAUUCGUAGAUAUUCGCAAGAACACCAGUGGCGAAGGCGGCCAACUGGUCCACUACUGACGCUGAGGUGCGAAAGCGUGGGGAGCAAA